rnacentral:hammerhead_ribozyme from 2 species
GCCAUGCUGACGAGUCCUAGUAAGGACGAAACAGCUGUCCAUGGU